AUCCAAUACGCACAGUUCAAUCGCCAUGGAGUCAAAGUCUAUUACAGUCUUUCAGUAUGCGAUUGACUCCAUGGGAAGGCUAUCUGGGUUAAGUCCAUUUGUGCGGUUCAAACUCCCAAACAGCCAGUGUUCGUAUGCUUUUGUCAAAAGAGAAGGGAGGUCGGUGGCUUUAACGGUGUUCGGUGGAAAAAGUGUCAGUUUUCAGUUCCAUAGAAUCUGUGCGGAACACCGCUGGUCUUUC